GAAAUGCGAUAAGUAAUGUGAAUUGCAGAAUUCAGUGAAUCAUCGAAUCUUUGAACGCACAUUGCGCCCGCCAGUAUUCUGGCGGGCAUGCCUGUUCGAGCGUCAUUUCAACCAUCAAGCCCCGCGCUUGUGUUGGGGACCUGCGGCUGCCGCAGGCCCUGAAAACCAGUGGCGGACUCGCUGUCACACCGGGCGUAGUAGAUUUUAUCUCGCUCAGGGCGUGCUGCGGGUUCCGGCCGUUAAAAAGCCUUUUUUACCCAAGGUUGACCUCGGAUCAGGUAGGAAGACCCGCUGAACUUAAGC
rnacentral:misc_RNA from 1 species